UCGGAUAUGGUGUAAUGGCUAACAUUGCCGCCUCUCAAUUUCUUGCACAUCCUGCUGCGCGGCAGCUCGGGGUUCGAUUCCCCGUAUCCGAA